rfam:Trichobilharzia regenti genome assembly, scaffold: TRE_scaffold0029705
GUACUGCUGAAGAGUCCCAAAUUGGGACGAAACAGCUGGCUGUCCAGUAC